AUUGUUUUUUGUGACCUAGCUUUGGAAGUCAUAAUUCAUAAAUGAAGCCAUAAUUCAUUGGUUAAAGUAGUCACAUACAUGCCCAGAUUCAGGGAUGGGGGCAUAGAAUUUGCCCCAUCUUUUAGUGUUCAGUUUACCAUGAACACUAAGAUUGUGUGUGAAUUCUGGAAGCCAUUCCUCCGACAUUAUAAGCAGCCUUUCAUCAUGGUUGAGUUCUCUCUGGGUUCAAAUUCUGACUCUGCCACUUACCCUGUGGAAGCUACUUAAAGUUCCUGUGUCUCGGACUCCUCGUUGUUUUCAGAAGAAAAAGAACAUAAAUCUCAGAGAUCACCAAAGAAGCAUAUCUCAGUGGCUGAAAUAAACACCUCAAUUAAACCAUU